rnacentral:rRNA from 1 species
UACGGGGGGGGGCAAGCGUUGUUCGGAAUUACUGGGCGUAAAGGGCUCGUAGGUGGCCAACUAAGUCAGACGUGAAAUCCCUCGGCUUAACCGGGGAACUGCGUCUGAUACUGGAUGGCUUGAGUUCGGGAGAGGGAUGCGGAAUUCCAGGUGUAGCGGUGAAAUGCGUAGAUAUCUGGAGGAACACCGGUGGCGAAGGCGGCAUCCUGGACCGACACUGACACUGAGGAGCGAAAGCCAGGGGAGCAAACGGGG